CGAGCUGUGGGCCAGCGGCAGGCCACCUCAUUUGGGAUGAGGGGAACGGGAGUUCGAAUCUCUCCAGCUCGACCA
rnacentral:tRNA from 1 species